GAUGAACGCUGGCGGCGUGCCUAACACAUGCAAGUCGAGCGAUUUACUUCGGUAAAGAGCGGCGGACGGGUGAGUAACGCGUGGGUAACCUGCCCUGUACACACGGAUAACAUACUGAAAGGUAUGCUAAUACGGGAUAACAUAAGAGAGUCGCAUGGCUUUCUUAUCAAAGCUUUUGCGGUACAGGAUGGACCCGCGUCUGAUUAGCUAGUUGGUAAGGUAACGGCUUACCAAGGCGACGAUCAGUAGCCGACCUGAGAGGGUGAUCGGCCACAUUGGAACUGAGACACGGUCCAAACUCCUACGGGAGGCAGCAGUGGGGAAUAUUGCACAAUGGGCGAAAGCCUGAUGCAGCAACGCCGCGUGAGCGAUGAAGGCCUUCGGGUCGUAAAGCUCUGUCCUCAAGGAAGAUAAUGACGGUACUUGAGGAGGAAGCCCCAGCUAACUACGUGCCAGCAGCCGCGGUAA
rnacentral:rRNA from 1 species